rnacentral:rRNA from 1 species
AUGCUGCAACGGCGGUGGGCAGCACCGGCGAGGGACGGUGUCGCGGUCGGCGCCGCGAAGCUACCAUGGAUGCAACACAGAGGCAAGAGAAAAAGCUGCUACGGUCAACGGCCUUUUUGUUGCGAGCGACGGCGGCGAGCAUCGGCGGUGGGAGUCUGCGGCGAGGCCAACGGGCAAGGUUCUGCGAGCACGGGUCGUCGGCGGCCAAGGACGAGCGGGGCGCUGGUCUUUUUCCCCUUCUUCUUUCUCCUCUGCUUUUUCCUUUGCUGCAGCGUUUUCUGGAAGCUUGACGAAGGAAUCGAAAAAAACUGCUGUAUGAAACUCGCCGUCUUGACUCGGCGUCUGCUGUGUGCUAGGAAGAAGAUGAGGGGGCGAACGACGAGGCAACGAGGGCAAAGGUUGGCACUGACCACCAGCGGCGACGAGAUUUCACAGGACGUCGGCAAAUUUGGCAACAAAGGAGGUCAUGGGAUGAGGAGGGAGGAAGUGUCAAGGAGUCGGAAGAAGACGAAGAGCCACAUGGCAUUGCAUCCUAAGACUAGAGUUUGUCGUCACAUUGGCGUGGCGCCCUUUUUAAAAUACGCAACCAUUUUCCUGAGCCCUUGGAUCAAAAUCAAAUGGCAAUCCUUCGGGUUGACACCUAACUAUCAUUAUCUCAAUCUCACUCCAUUGAGAUUGGAUUGUGGCCGAGCCCACGAACGCGAGUACCCCUCCCAGGCGACAUGGAGGAGACGGGAUCAGGAUCGGCCCAGCCUGAGGCUGCUGCUGGCAGCGGCAUGUACAGUGAGGAUUACCGGCCGCCAUGAUUCUUCCUUGGAAGAUCGAUUCGUGGGUCUGAAUCUACAUGGAGAAGAGGAAGAAGAGCUGGAUCUGUCAGGAGAAAGAGAAGGACUGAUUGAGGAAACACGCUGGAUCAGGAUCUUUAGGGUUCACACCCAAAAACCCUUCAGCCAUGUGGCCUUAUUCGAAUCGAUGCGCAAUGCCGUCUGCUCAUGGUGUUACCUUCAAAACCAGGGGCAACAAUCUGUUCUUGGCCCAGUUUUUGUGUUUGGGCGGUUGGGACCGGGUGAUGAACAGAGGCCCAUGGGAGUUCCGUGUUGGACAUGUGUUGUGACUGAAUGCGGAGAUGGAAUACAUAAACCGGAGGAUUGUGAGUGGGGCAGCUGGUUACUUGUUAACUUUGACAGAUCAGGAGGCAGACAAGGAGCUGGAAGAGGAAUGGGGCAGAAUGGUGAUGGUGCUGGCAGGGGCGGCGGCUUUGGCAGAGGGAGAGGGAACCCCGGUGACCCUAACCCACAAGAAGGGCUGGCCAUGGACAUAGAUGCUCACAACCCCAACGGUGCGAUCGUAACCACUGCCCGGAAAAGGCUCAUAUCGCAGGAUGGCAUGGUUGCUUCAGCGUCGGUGUCUCCUCAAAUACCACCAGCUGGCUUUGUUAAUGACAAAUACAGCGGCAGUAAGGGUGCUUCUGGACAUCCAGAAUCAAUGGGGGCCGGAUGUGUUUUUUCUGUCCGAAACACAUUUGAACACACCAGAAAAAAGAGAAACCUCAUCGGGCGUCUUAUGGAUGCAAACGGUGAUUGGAAGGAGGAUAAUGAGGCUAUGAGAGCUCUGAUUGACAGCUACUUCCAGAACUUAUUCACGGCAGAGGUACAUGUGGUGAACCAGGAAGUACUCAAGAAGGUUAAACCAAGAGUAACACCAUACAUGAAUGAAGCUUUGUUGGCACCAUACACUGAGGAGGAAGUGAAGAAAGCGUUGUUCGGCAUUGGUGAUCUAGAGGCUCCUGGGCCAGAUGGCUUACACACAAUAUUUUAUAAAAAGUUUUGGCGUUUAAUCGGUGAUGAUCUUACAAAAGAAGUACUACGACCAAAUAAAGAACAUAACCCAAAGCUGGCUCUGGCGACUCGGGGGCGAAAACCUAGCGCAGCCACCACCCCUCCCCCACCCCCUCCCAUCUCGCCGCCGCUAGAGGUUUCCGCCAGCAAAGCUCGCGCUGGACCCAGGGACGGCGGCGGCGGGGUGUCUCUCUCAAUCCAGGUAGCAGGGCUCGGCGACGCGAGGCCCUCUGCCGGCGGCGCAUCUGGCCGUGGUCGGUGGCGGUCUCAUCCGACGCGAGCUGCCUCACGGUGGUGGUUGCGAGGCGGUGGCGGGCAGCUGUGCUGCGGCGGUGUGGCGGCCGGUGGACCUGGUGACCUGGAUCUGGAUCCAGCGAGCCGGUCAGGCGCGGCGCCGGCUUGCAGUCUAGCCAGUGUGGGAUGCUACUUGGCGCCCAUAUCUGCUUUUCCUGAACUCACCCGGCCAACCGGCAUUCGUGGCCACGACCAGGGGGUCGGCGGUGGAUGCCGUCGACAGAGUUUGACUACGGUGGUGGUGGGGUGUGGUGCUCGAGGUGAGCUUCUGUGUCAAUGGAGCCUCAUGCUAGUCCUAGUGGGGACGCUCGCCGUGGACUGGCAGGAGGGUGGGGAGGUCUCGGGCUGCAGGGCACAUCGGUCAGCUUCAACGGAGAUGACGGGGACGGGAUGCUUCAGGCGAAAGCCUUGUGUCGAUCCUGUCGGCAACGAUGACGGCGACGCCUUCGAGCGCCGUUUCCCUUCUUGA